rnacentral:rRNA from 1 species
CAAUACGGGAGCGGCAGACGGGAGAGUAACACGUGGGAACGUACCCUUCAGUUCGGAACAACCCAGGGAAACUUGGGCUAAUACCGAAUACGUCCGUAAGGAGAAAGAUUUAUCGCUGAAGGAUCGGCCCGCGUCUGAUUAGCUAGUUGGUGGGGUAAUGGCUCACCAAGGCGACGAUCAGUAGCUGGUCUGAGAGGAUGAUCAGCCUCAUUGGGACUGAGACACGGCCCAA